rnacentral:rRNA from 1 species
UCUGGUUGAUCCUGCCAGUAGUUAUAUGCUUGUCUCAAAGAUUAAGCCAUGCAUGUCUAAGUACACACGAAUUAAAGUGAAACCGCAAAAGGCUCAUUAUAUCAGUUAUGGUUCCUUAGAUCGUUAACAGUUACUUGGAUAACUGUGGUAAUUCUAGAGCUAAUACAUGCAAUUAAAACAUGAACCUUAUGGGACAUGUGCUUUUAUUAGGCUAAAACCAAGCGAUCGCAAGAUCGUUAUAUUGGUUGAACUCUAGAUAACAUGCAGAUCGUAUGGUCUUGUACCGACGACAGAUCUUUCAAAUGUCUGCCCUAUCAACUUUUGAUGGUAGUAUCUAGGACUACCAUGGUUGCAACGGGUAACGGGGAAUCAGGGUUCGAUUCCGGAGAGGGAGCCUGAGAAACGGCUACCACAUCUAAGGAAGGCAGCAGGCGCGUAAAUUACCACUCCCAGCUCGGGGAGGUAGCUGACGAAAAAUAACAAUACAGGACUCAUAUCCGAGGCCCUGUAAUUGGAAUGAGUACACUUUAAAUCUUUAACAAGGACCAAUUGGAGGGCAAGUCUGGUGCCAGCAGCCGCGGUAAUUCCAGCUCCAAUAGCGUAUAUAUUAAAGUUGUUGCGGUUAAAACGUUCGUAGUUGAACUUGUGCUUCAUACGGGUAGUACAACUUACAAUUGUGGUUAGUACUAUACCUUUAUGUAUGUAAGCGUAUUACCGUGGAGUUCUUAUAUGUGAUUAAAUACUUGUAUUUUUUCAUAUGUUCCUCCUAUUUAAAAACCUGCAUUAGUGCUCUUAAACGAGUGUUAUUGUGGGCCGGUACUAUUACUUUGAACAAAUUAGAGUGCUUAAAGCAGGCUUCAAAUGCCUGAAUAUUCUGUGCAUGGGAUAAUGAAAUAAGACCCUCUGUCUUACGAUCGCGAGAGCUGUGAAAUUCUUGGACCGUCGUAAGACUAACUUAAGCGAAAGCAUUUGCCAAAGAUGUUUUCAUUAAUCAAGAACGAAAGUUAGAGGUUCGAAGGCGAUCAGAUACCGCCCUAGUUCUAACCAUAAACGAUGCCAGCUAGCAAUUGGGUGUAGCUACUUUUAUGGCUCUCUCAGUCGCUUCCGGAAACCAAAGCUUUUGGGCUCCGGGGGAAGUAUGGUUGCAAAGCUGAAACUUAAGAAUUAAGAAUUGAGAGCGAAGGCCACCACCGAGGAUGGAGCCUGCGGCUUAAUUUGACUCAACACGGGAAAACUUACCAGGUCCGAACAUAAGUGUGUAAGACAGAUUGAUAGCUCUUUCUCGAAUCUAUGGUGGUGGUGCAUGGCCGUUCUUAGUUCGUGGAGUGAUUUGUCUGGUUAAUUCCGAUAACGAACGAGACUCAAAUAUAUUAAAUAGAUAUCUUCGAUUAUGGUGCUGAAGCUUAUGUAGCCUUCAUUCAUGUUGGCAGUAAAAUGCUUAUUGUGUUUGAAUGUGUUUAUGUAAGUGGAGCCGUACCUGUUGGUUUGUCCCAUUAUAAGGACACUAGCUUCUUAAAUGGACAAAUUGCGUCUAGCAAUAAUGAGAUUGAGCAAUAACAGGUCUGUGAUGCCCUUAGAUGUCCUGGGCUGCACGCGCGCUACAAUGAAAGUAUCAACGUGUAUUUCCUAGACCGAGAGGUCCGGGUAAACCGCUGAACCACUUUCAUGCUUGGGAUUGUGAACUGAAACUGUUCACAUGAACUUGGAAUUCCCAGUAAGUGUGAGUCAUUAACUCGCAUUGAUUACGUCCCUGCCCUUUGUACACACCGCCCGUCGCUACUACCGAUUGAAUUAUUUAGUGAGGUCUCCGGACGUGAUCACUGUGACGCCUUGCGUGUUACGGUUGUUUCGCAAAAGUUGACCGAACUUGAUUAUUUAGAGGAAGUAAAAGUCGUAACAAGGUUUCCGUAGGUGAACCUGCGGAAG